rnacentral:rRNA from 1 species
ACUCCUACGGGAGGCAGCAGUGGGGAAUAUUGGACAAUGGGGGAAACCCUGAUCCAGCAAUGCCGCGUGAGUGAUGAAGGCCUUAGGGUUGUAAAGCACUUUCAGUAGGGAGGAAGGUAGUGUAGUUAACACCUGCACUAUUUGACGUUACCUACAGAAGAAGCACCGGCUAACUCCGUGCCAGCAGCCGCGGUAAUACGGAGGGUGCGAGCGUUAAUCGGAAUUACUGGGCGUAAAGCGCAUGCAGGCGGCCUGUUAAGUCAGAUGUGAAAGCCCGGGGCUUAACCUCGGAAUUGCAUUUGAAACUGGCAGGCUAGAGUCUUGUAGAGGGGGUAGAAUUUCAGGUGUAGCGGUGAAAUGCGUAGAGAUCUGAAGGAAUACCAGUGGCGAAGGCGGCCCCUGGACAAAGACUGACGCUCAGAUGCGAAAGCGUGGGGAGCAAACAGGAUUAGAUACCCUGGUAGCACAGAG